rnacentral:lncRNA from 1 species
GUAUAAUGGGAACAGUUGCACUUGUUAUACUCUUCUCUUCUGGUCCAGGUAGUGCGAGUCUUGCACUGCAUGCAACAAAGUAAGUCUUUGAUUCCAUUGAGAAAUACAGUUCAUCCAUCAGAAAACAGGUGUGUAUCAGACAAAAAUAUUAGUUUCUCUUCUAGUUUGAUUUCUUGCCACUUCUCUAAUGCCUCCUCUAACUUCAGCAUAUCAGCUUUUAGAACUUGUUUCCAUUUCAUUUUUCUUCAUAUUGCUGAGUGGUUGUCAUACUGCAUUGUCAAAUAUAAGGGUCCCCAGAAAAGAUUGAACAAGGUUAUAAACUUGGACCAUCGUGUCUUUUAGGCCAGUAUCACUUAAUGCUACUUCUUUCUGGUUAGAAUGUUUAUAUGAACUUUUGUAAGGAAAAUAGGGUGCAAAGGUUGGAGCCUAGCCUCAGCCCAUCUACGACACUCUUCAAAUGGUAUAGUUACCCAUAAACAAUUGAUUCCUUGUCAAUUAAUCCUAUGCUGCUAGUUUGGGCGUCUAAUUUGGAGACCUCAUUUAAUUAAUGAAGGUACAGAUGUCAUGCCUUGAUAUUUAAGGGUUCUUUGAGUUAGCUGGAUGUUCAUUGAAAUACUGACCUUGCAAAAGCACUUGCAAAGUGUCUGCAUUCUCCUCUCAUUGGGCACGCAUUGCAGUUUGGUUUAUUCUUUGUGCAAAAGACCUGCAUAAAUGUUGAGGCAUGAGAGACACCGAUGCUUCUUGCAUGGCUAAUUCUAGAUGUCUUCAAGAGUUGCAUUAGCGGAUGCCAAAGAUGUGUUAUUACAUACCUUUCCAAAUGUAAUCAGCUGGUAAUGUAGUUCAUACCUAUAGUUAAGGACAGUACAUUAGUUUAUAUGACUGCACAUGGAAUGUAAUAGCAAUAUCCUAACAGUACUGCUUCUAGUACAUAUUUGUUUAAAAGAGUUAUGGGUUUACAGUGUUCGCUGGUCAAGUUUACACAAUCUUGGCCAAAGAUAUUUUUGAACAGACUCCAGCACUGGGUACCUGCAAAAGAAAAUCAUUGGUUUCGAGGAAUGAAGACUUUCAGUUUUAUUAAUGAACAUUUAUACUUACAGUUCUAAGAGGUGUAUGUGAAGUGAUUCUGGCAAUGGUUGGAGAGGGACCCAUCCCAGUCUAACAGCUAUCCGUCCAACAUUUGUAUCCACCUUCAUGGUAACAUAAAUGUGAUAUUUGAUUAUAAAAUACAGUUUCCUUUUUACUGCACAGCAGUUCUAUAAAACUUACCGGAAAAGCAAGAUGAUGAAGUGUUAAGAGGCGCACACACUCCACACUUUUCAAUCCCAAUCCUCGUAUACUUAAGAGAUAAUCCCUGCAGCACAAACAAUUUUUUUUUCCCGGAAAAUCAAUCAUAUCUACAUUCCUCGUAUGCAGUUCAAUUCCUUAUACUUAGUUUUACUCUUUAGUUAGUUUUCUUCCAAAAUAUAGUUCAGAUAUCUUACUUCGCUUUGUCUGGGGGGACGUCUCUUAACCAUUCAAGAUCCAUGCUUCCAUGAUCUCUAACAAGGCGGUUCAAGAAUUCCUGCAAUAUUGCACAAUCAUUUUAAAAUUUCUAAUCACUUGAUCCUCUAAAGUAAUCUUUAUUUUGUUCUGAUGACUAUUCUUAUUGUCAUUUGAAACUGAUCUGAGUAACUUACAGCGCUUCUGGGAUUGAUUUUUACACACCUUUAUUCGUUCUGCUAGCAUGUUGUUCAUUCCCCUGUCCCUAAUAGCUUUAGAAAUCUCAUUAACAUCAGCAUAACGCAAUGCUUCAUAAUCUAGUGAGUCCAUUGUGUCUGUGCUUCGUUCCUUUUUCCUACCAUUAGCCUGCACCUGCCUUCUUAGAUUAUCCCAUUCAAUUGCAUUAUUUUUGUCAACCUCAGCCUUUCCUUUUUUUGCUUUUGAAACACUGGUAUUUGUCUCAUCAUAUGCCUUCACUGGUGAAUUUGAUUCAACCAAUUUGUUGUCCAAGAAUUUCUGUUUAUUUGCCAGAUUGAUUCCCUUAUCAGCAUCAGUUCUCUUCAUGAGUUCAGGUGCAUUAAACAUAUGCUUCAUGGUACUGCUUCUACUCUCUUCAAAUGUUUCUGGACGAUUAACAAGCUUUACAACCGGUGUCUCCUGUGGUUGGAAAGUCUUCAUCUGAUUUUGAUGACCAUUGCAGACUUGAUCAUAUGUAGUGCAAGAUCCAGGUUGUGAGGUGUUUUCCUUUCUUGAUAAUGCCCAUGAGUCCGCUUCUGAUACAUCUUGAAAUCUUGGUAUUUCAUUGUCUUGGGCCAACAUUUUCACAUUAGUUGUUUGUCUAAUACUUCUGUAUAAGUCAUUGGCAUCUUUUCCUUUAUCCAGUCCAGAAGCAAUUGCAGGCCAAGACCAUGUUUGCUCUUCACUAGCUGUUUCCGAACUGUCUAUUUCAAUUACUUGGGGCUGUGAAAUUGCGUCCAGCUGAAACUUACUAGGAGUGGCUGGCAUCUGCAAUUCUGAAAUAUUAAAGUUGGUUGGCUGAGUAAAUGUGGAGCUCUUGAAGUUCUCAGUUCUAUUUGUUCUUGGCUUUUGCUGGUUAUUCUCCAUAUCUAUCUGCAAGUGCCCAUGCAUGGUUCCUCUAUGAAAUAGUGGGCUCCCAUUAACCUGAGUAAAAAAUUCAUCAAAUGAGAUGGCACUCUGUGAAAAUUUUCCUGAACCAGGAAUGUUGGUUUCUUUGGUUCCAGUAGUAGGAUGUUCUGCAUCAGAAUUGGAACCUGAGUAUGAUCUUAUUCCUCCAUAGGGUUGGACAAUUAAAGAAUCAAAAGAAUCUGGUGAUGAUAGAAAUUGUUCCUCCAGGCUCUGACUAUAUGUCUCUACUAUGAUUGUUCUUUCUAUUCCUAGGUGCGAUCCAUUAAUUGUAGAACUUUGUUUGUCUGGUGGACGAUUUACUAUCUUUUCUUGCCAUGUGAUGGUGUCAUUUGGAUUCAGUACACAGACUUCUGGUUCAAUCAGUACACUCGUUCUAUCCAACUCAUGUCUUACAUGGCACCCUGAUUUCGGAGGAAACUGUGCAGCUAGAGACAUGAAAGCAGAGCUGCAUGAUAGGAAAGUCAGAAAUAUUAGCUUACUUCAAAUUUCAAUUUCAAUAUCUUCAAAAUAAUCUUAAAACCAUAUUUUACCUUGAUAGGUGAUCGGAAACAUUCUGAGUGAGGAAAACUCCGAUAACUGAAUCUACAACUGAGCCCUUCCACUGUGAGAAGCGCCUAUCUCCUGUGAAGAGUCGUUAGAACUUUUUGUUAGUACAAUUUGGCUUCUUCAAUGAGUAAUUGGAAAAAUAGAUAGGGAACUAGAUUUCUUGUGUCCAUGCUUAUGUAUUAAGCUAAAAACCUGCUAAUUAUGACUUAGAAAAUGCCGGCUCUCUUCAUUUAGGAACCAAGUUUCUUUAGGGAAAUAAAAUGGAGUAUUUUGCAAUGAUAUUGAACUGAUAUCCAGUGUGAUAUUCAGGUUCAGUUACUGUAGAAUAUAAUAGAUUAGUCGAUUAUGUCUGAGGUCAUUUUAAUAUUUAUGCCUUUAUUUCUCUUAAUUAAGCAAGCUUCCCAUGCACCACGCUCGUGCCUUUAUUAAUGCUAAUGAAUUUAAAUUAACAAGUGUCUGCAAUUUGUUGUUGGUCACAUUUUUCCUUUUGCAGAUCAUCAUUCUCCUUUUAUCUGUCAAGUCGUAUUACUUGCAUUUGAUGAAAAGAGAGGGAGGUUGUGAUAAGUUCCCUUUUGGUGCUUGUAUGCACACUCCCUUCAAUUUUGGUUUAUCCUUUAUUGGGUUUGAGCUGGGUUAUGGUUGGCAGGGUGAGAGGGAUGGGGUGGGAGAGCUUUGGAUGUGAAAAGACAUUCAGAGCAACCUGCUAAGCUUAUCCCUUUGGCUACCUUUUGGGCAAUUUGGAAAGAGAGGAAUAGGAGAAUUUUAAUAGUAUAAAAUCUAAUUUUGAUAGAUUUAAAGACUCAUGGGCUCAAUCCCCAAGUUUUUUUUAUAGGUAUUGUAUUUUAGCAAGGAUUUGAAGGAUUUUAUAGGCAUUUUGUUAGAUAUAUAAAUACUUUUGUAUAUGAGUUACAACCACUUGGUGCUUUUUGAAUUUCUAACUUUUUCUUCAAAAAAAAAAAUCUUAUGUAUGUUGUGGUAAUAAUUGCCACAAGAAAUGCAACAGCAUUGACCAGUUAAGACAUGUUCAUCAUCGCGACUAUUGUGGUCAUUAUUUUAAUUAGCUAGACAAUCACAUGAUAAGUACAUUUUGUUGAGAUGAUUACACUUCUAAAAGAAAUAAAGUGAAUCUUUAAAUUUUUGAGUAAAAGUAUCAGGUAGCGUACCUUGUACAAGAUGCAUUCUGGCAAUGAACGAAUCAGCUCGUCCCCGGAAAACUCUCCUUUCUUCCUCCCACCACUUCUCCUUUUCCUUGUCUAAUCCUUCGUCAGCUUCGCUUCCCUUCUUACCCAUCAACAAAUUCCAUAUCCUGUUUGUCUCUAGGUCAAGGUCCACUUUAGGCCGUUGUUUACGUUUCUUUAUAAAGUCAGACCCUACAUAUGGAACAACUGAACCAUCUGCUUUGUACAGAACAAGUGCAUUUUGCUCUUGCCCCAUUAUUUGUUUGCCUCUGUCAUCAUUAAGAUUGAGAUGUUUAAGUCCAUUUAUGAUCUUCUCCAUCAUAACUGAGAAUUCCUCUUUUUCUGAUGGCCCUACAUUAAAUACCAAGACAAUUUGAUGAAAAAUGUGGUGAUUGAAUUUGUUGAAGAUUAGCUUGAUAAGAUGGUUAUAAUUUAUAAGAGGUUAACAUGUUCUAAACUAAUAUGUACAGUACCUUCUGUCUUUCCUGAGUUCUUCUGAUAAUCAUGCAGUGGUUCGUUCUGACCUCCUUGCAGCCUGGAAUUUUCAAGUGGCACUGAGUUUGACACAGUGGAUCCCAAACUUUGCUUUUCAGUCGGGCCAACACAAUCUAGCUGCCUAUCUAUAGGCGCAGG